rnacentral:misc_RNA from 1 species
GAUGAAGAACGCAGCGAAAUGCGAUACGUAGUGUGAAUUGCAGAAUUCAGUGAAUCAUCGAAUCUUUGAACGCACAUUGCGCCCCUUGGUAUUCCAUGGGGCAUGCCUGUUCGAGCGUCAUUUGUACCUUCAAGCUCUGCUUGGUGUUGGGUGUUUGUCUCGCCUCUGCGUGUAGACUCGCCUUAAAACAAUUGGCAGCCGGCGUAUUGAUUUCGGAGCGCAGUACAUCUCGCGCUUUGCACUCAUAACGACGACGUCCAAAAGUACAUUUUUACACUCUUGACCUCGGAUCAGGUAGGGAUACCCGCUGAACUUAAGCAUAUCAAUAAGCGGAGGA